UUAAAAGAACGAAAAGUCAUAAUAAAUUAUUAAGUUGUGAGUUAUGAAUUUCCCAAAAUAAAAAUUCUUCCAAAGGGAAGCUUGUGAAAGAAAGAAAUAGUUUUCACAAGGAAAACAGGGGGAACUGAAACAUCUAACUACCCCUCGGAAAAAAAAUCAAACGAGAUUUCGUUAGUAGUGGCGAGCGAACGCGAAUUUAGACAAAAAUAUUUCAAAGCUUUUUAAAUACGUAAGAAAGCGUGACCGUAGAAGGUGAUAGUCCUGUAUAAAAAGUGAAAUAUUUUAUUAAGUAGAGUGGGACAUGAUUUAGCUUGCUUGAAAAGGGAGGACCACCUUCCAAGUCUAAAUACUUUUUAAUGACUGAUAGUGUACAAGUACCGUAAGGGAAAGAUGAAAAGAACCCAAAGAGGGAGUGAAAUAGAACCUAAAAUUCAAUAUAUACAAGCAGUAGAAGGUUCUCUUAUGAGAAUUUACUACGUACCUUUUGCAUAAUGGGUCAGCAAGUUAAUUUAUUUAGCAAGCUUAAAUUGAGAAAGAUAAGCGUAGUGAAAACGAUUCUAGUUAAGUGAAUUAGACCCGAAAACAAGUGAUCUAUCCAUGAGCAGGUUGAAGGUGUAUUAAUAGUACGCCGGAGGACCGAACCCACGUCUGUUGCAAUAGGCCGGGAUGACUUGUGGAUAGGGGUGAAAGGCCAAUCAAACUUGUAAAUAGCUGGUUUUCCAUGAAAUUUAUUUAGGUAAAGCGUGCGAUGNUAAUUUUAGGGGUAGAGCACUAGAUAGGUAUCGGGUUGCACAGAGCUUUACUGAACCUAACUAAACUCCGAAUACUAAAACAAAGCAUCACACAGACAGACUUAGGGUGACAAGGUCCUAAGUCGAGAGGGAAAAAGCCCAGAUCGUGUGUUAAGGUCCCCAAAUAAUAACUAAGUGGUUCAAGGAUGUGAAAAGGUCAAGACAACCAGGAUGUGGGCUUGGAAUCAGCCAUCAUUUAAAGAGUGCGUAAUAGCUCACUGGUCUAGAAUAUUAUUUCAAGCUUUUUUGCGCCGAAAAUGUAAGGGGCUCAAGUUAUUUACCGAAACCACGAGCAUUGAUUUAUCAAUGCGGUAAUGGAACGUUCUGUAGAUCGUUGACGUCUUUUUGUAAAAAAAGAUUGAGAUAUCAGAAGCGACAAUGCUGACAUGAGUAGCAUAAAUCAACGUGAAAAACGUUGAGACCGAAAGUUCAAGGGUUUCUGCGCACGGCUAAUCCACGCAGAGAAAGUCGGCCCCUAAUUGAAGGGCGAAAGCCGUACAAAAUGGGUGCUCGUUUAUAAUACGAGGCCUUUUGGAAAGUGACAUUCUUUUUACGUAUCUAAGAAUUUUGAACUUUUGUUCAAAGAUAGGAUUNUUUUUAGAACGGGAUUAGGAUCGAGAAAUAACUCCAAUUGAGACCGUACCCCAAACCGACACAGGUGAACAAGUAGAGUAUACUAAGGUUUUGAAAGGACCAUAUUGAAGGAAUUCGGCAAAAUGACCUCGUAACUUCGGGAGAAGAGGUGCCUCAAUUGAGGUGGAACAGAGCAGGGGGUAGCGACUGUUUAGUAAAAACACAGGUCUCUGCAAAAUCGUAAGAUGAAGUAUAGGGACUGACACCUGCCCGGUGCGGUAAAGUUAAUAGGAGGGGUUUAAGCUCCGAAUUGAAGCUCCCGUAAACGGCGGCUGUAACUCUGACGGUCCUAAGGUAGCAAAAUUCCUUGACGGGUAAGUUCCGUCCUGCAUGAAUGGUGUAACGACUUUCCCACU
rnacentral:rRNA from 1 species